rnacentral:tRNA from 1 species
GCCUGGGUGGUUCAGUCGGUUGAGCAUCCGACUUCGGCUCAGGUCAUGAUCUCAUGGUUUGUGGGUUCGAGCCCCGCGUCGGGCU